AUGGAGCAGUCGCACUGUGAAUUCGUCUUGCAUGAUUACUCUGACCCACAGGCCCCUGAACGAUCACAUCAUUCUGUGAUGGACAUGACUUUUAUUACUAGUGGCCAAAGUUUCACAGUUUGCAUGUUUUGUUCACAGGAUACGGCCUUGGUGCUGCUGGCUUUCUUGGAGCUGGUUUUACUAAUGGAUAUGGAGCAGGUCUUGGGGCAGGUGGAUAUCCACAGGGAGUUCGAGCAGGAAAGCAGAUUGCAGGCUACAGCAAUGGAUACGGCAGUGAGGUUUAUGGCACAGCAGACGGUUAUGGGGCAGGUGAGUCUGGACUGGAUAGAUACGAUGGAGUGUGUCCUAAUGUCACACUAA
ensembl:lncRNA